rnacentral:rRNA from 1 species
GGGGGGGCAAGCGUUGUUCGGAAUUACUGGGCGUAAAGGGCGCGCAGGCGGGCGGGAAAGUCUCUCGUGAAAUCCCACGGGCUCAACCGCGGAAUUGCGGGAGAUACUACUCGUCUUGAGUUCGGGAGAGGAGUGUGGAAUUCCCAGUGUAGCGGUGAAAUGCGUAGAUAUUGGGAGGAACACCGGUGGCGAAGGCGGCACUCUGGACCGAUACUGACGCUGAGGCGCGAAAGCUAGGGGAGCAAACGGGAUUAGAUACCCCGGUAGUCCUAGCUGUAAACGCUGAGCACUUGGUGUAGCGGGUAUCGACCCCUGCUGUGCCGAAGCUAACGCAUUAAGUGCUCCGCCUGGGGAGUACGGUCGCAAAGGCUG